AACGUUUUCUUGGAUUUGCAAACUUCUAUAGAAAAUUUAUUAGAAACUAUUCGGAUGUAUCACAUCCUCUUAACCUCCUCAACAGUAGUAAACGUCCUUUUAAUUGGAAUAAAGAUGCUCAAACAGCCUUCGACGAAUUAAAAAAAAGAUUUACAACUGCACCUAUUCUACAACUACCUAAUCCAACAUUCCUAUAUGUUCUUGAAGUUGAUGCAUCAGAUGCAGCCAUCGGAGCAGUUCUUUCUCAACAAAAGACUCCACAAGAUCCACUUCAUCCAGUUGCCUUUUUUUCAAGAUCCUUGAGCUCUGCUGAAAAAAAUUAUCCUAUUGGUGAAAAAGAAUUAUUAAGUGUUAAAGCUGCCUUCGAAAAUUGGCGUCA
rnacentral:lncRNA from 1 species